CCCUUAGAUGUUCUGGGCUGCACGCGCGCUACGCUGAAGCUAUCAACACGUUUUCCCUCCCUGAGAAGGGCGGGUAACCUUUUGAAUCAGCUUCGUGGUAGGGAUCGGGGCUUGCAAUUGUUCCCCGUGAACCAGGAAUUCCUAGUAGACGCGAGUCAUAAGCUCGCAUCGAUUAAGUCCCUGCCCUUUGUACACACCGCCCGUCGCUACUACCGAUUGAGUGAUCCGGUGAAUAAUUCGGACUGCGGCAUUGACCGGUUCCCGAUCGUUGCUGCGGAAAGUUUAGUGAACCUUAUCACUUAGAGGAAGGAGAAGUCGUAACA
rnacentral:rRNA from 1 species